rnacentral:snRNA from 1 species
GUGCUUGCUUCAGCAGCACAUAUACUAGGAUUGGAAAGAUACAGAGAAGAUUAGUAUGGCCCCUGCACAAGGAUGACACACAAAUUCGUGAAGUGUUCCAUAUUUUU